UACGUAGGUGGCAAGCGUUGUCCGGAUUUACUGGGCGUAAAGAGCGCGCAGGCGGUCGGAUCAGUCGAAUGUGAAAGCCCCCGGCUCAACUGGGGAGGGUCAUUCGAUACUGUCCGACUCGAAGGCAGGAGAGGGAAGCGGAAUUCCCGGUGUAGUGGUGAAAUGCGUAGAUAUUGGGAGGAACACCGGUGGCGAAGGCGGCUCACUGGACCGGUUCUGACGCUGAGGCGCGAAAGCGUGGGGAGCAAACGGG
rnacentral:rRNA from 1 species